AGAUGAAAUGGCUUUUACUGGGACUAAAAACCUACAGCCCUAAUGGAAGCUCUUACAGUUGGUGCCAGUUUUAUAUCUUGCAGGGGCUGUUGUCACUAUAUUAAUAUCCUGGAGGUCAAGUUAAUUAUUUUUUUUUUAAUAUUUUGCAGGCUCUGUGCAAUUUGAUACAGUGUCACACUUGGUGCGUGCCAGUUUUGUGCCUGAAGUAUAAGAGCCGGGGAACCGUACCAGCUCAGACCUCCAAGGAAGAAGCUUUUGCAGGAAUCCAUGACCACACAGAAAGAAAAUGGACACAGCAACCUUGUCUCCCAAAGGUAUGUGAGAUUUCUCACCUUCUGAAAAUCCUGCUUGAACUUCUGCUUCAUUCCACUGGUUUCCCAAGUUGGUGCUGUACUUUCCUGAUUUGCUGCAGAAGGAUUGCCAUCUCAGCUCAUCUGCACUGUUUAAACGUGGUUACUGGUUUCAGAAAUUGAGAUUACAAUUCCUGGUCUUAUUUAAGAUUGAGGAAGAAAUGUGAAAUUCUGAAAUCUUUUCAUGGCUGAAAAACAGCUUUCCAGCAAGAUCUCCACAAAUGAGAUUGCAGAAAUUCUUCUUUCUCCUUCCUCCCUGGCUCUGUUAUCAUGCAAUUCUCUUCAUGCUGUUCUCCGAGACCAAAUCUGAGCCAGCCUGAGAUUUGUGCUAACGGUGAGUGCCUGCCUUUUUUUUUCUUUAAAUAAAACAAUUUCCUAAGGCA
rnacentral:lncRNA from 1 species